AUUGAACGCUGGCGGCACGCCUAACACAUGCAAGUCGAGCGGCAGCGAGACUAGUAGCAAUACUAGUUGUCGGCGAGCGGCGGACGGGCGAGUAACACGUAGGAAUCUGCCCUUAAGCGGCGGAUAACCAAGGGAAACUUUGGCUAAUACCGCAUAAUCUCGAGAGGGCAAAGCUGCCCGCAAGGGUGGCACUUGAGGAGGAGCCUGCGUCCGAUUAGCUAGUGGGUGGGGUAAUGGCCUACCAAGGCGAUGAUCGGUAACUGGUCUGAGAGGACGACCGGUCACACGGGGACUGAGACACGGCCCAGACUCCUACGGGAGGCAGCAGUGGGGAAUAUUGGACAAUGGGGGCAACCCUGAUCCAGCGAUGCCGCGUGAGUGAAGAAGGCCUUCGGGUCGUAAAGCUCUUUAGGUUGGGAAGAAGGGUAUUGGCUGAAUAAUCCAGUACUUUGACGGUACCGACAGAAUAAGCACCGGCAAACUCUGUGCCAGCCGCCGCAGUAAAAC
rnacentral:rRNA from 1 species